GAGGCAGGUGGCACUUCUUGAUGGGCAUAGUGGCAGAGAAAUCCUAGAAAUUGCAACCACACCCCUCCCUGUCUGGAGUCCUGGGCCCUGCUCCCCAGCUGUCCAAGGCAAAUCGACUGGAGUCCAUCUGGCUGUCCCCACCGGUCCAGGCAUGCUUCCCAUCCUGCAGGAAUCUUUCUCCAGCUGCUUCCCUGGUCUCUGGGAGAGCUUGUUUCCUCACCCAGCAGCUGCAGCAGAUCUGGUUGCCUUUGGUCAGACAAGAGCAGGCCCUGGUUUGGGGGCCCGUAAAACAAAACCCAAAUAAAAGCCUGAACCCGGCAGAUAUUAAUGCUACAGAGCCAGGGUUGGUGUGCAGGCAGCCACCCCCUUCUUCCCCCUUCUGUUUCUAUAAGUGGCUGAAAUAAAUUUAGCGAAACAACCCCACCCAUCUGAGGGCCUAAGAUUUCAGAGCAAUGGGAUUCUCUAUCCUGAAAACCCCUGUUUUUCAGAGCUGAAAGCUUUUUGUUUAAAUUCCUUUUGGGAAUGGAAUGCUCUCGAUCUGAAAUAAUUAUUAUACUGCAGUCAUCUAUUCCUCAUAGAUAAAUGCUUUGACACAGUAUAGCUUGCUGAAAAGCUGAUCUACAAAUGCUCUGCAGCUUA
rnacentral:lncRNA from 1 species